UCGGGAAUAUUGCCCAAUGGUCGCAAGACUGAGGCAGCAACGCCGCGUGCGCGAUGAAGGCCUUCGGGUCGUAAAGCGCUUUUCGGGUGGAUGAGGCAGGACAGUACACCCGGAAUAAGGAACGGCUAACUACGUGCCAGCAGCCGCGGUAAAACGUAGGUUCCGAGCGUUAUCCGGAUUUACUGGGCGUAAAGCGCGUUCAGGCGGUUUGACAAGUCGGGCAUGAAAUCUCUCGGCUCAACCGGGAGAGGUUGUCCGAUACUGUCAGACUUGAGGGCAGUAGAGGGUGGUGGAAUUCCGGGUGUAGUGGUGAAAUGCGUAGAUAUCCGGAGGAACACCAGUGGCGAAAGCGGCCACCUGGACUGUACCUGACGCUCAAACGCGAAAGCUAGGGGAGCGAACGGGAUUAGAUACCCCGGUAGUCC
rnacentral:rRNA from 1 species